AGCAGCGUGGCUCAGUGGAAAGAGCCCGGGCUUGGAAGUCGGAGGUUGUGGGUUCAAAUUCCGCCUCCACCA
rnacentral:tRNA from 1 species